AAUAAUGGUUCUCAACCUGUUUUUAAUGCCCUGGGUUCAGGGGGGGGGCUCCCCAGGUUAUGACAAAAAUUGGUAACAUUUAUUAAUGCAUUUUAAUUUGGUUACACUGCCAAACAAUUUAAUUUCUUUUUAAUAUGACUCAAUGUUUCACUCCACUAUGUUCAACUGUACAUUUUCAUUUUCAUUGCUCUUAAAAUAGAAGGUGAAUGUUCAUGAACAAAAAAAACUAAAUCUAAAACACAUUUGGCAAAUGACUUGCAUCAGAAGCCUGACAACAAUUAAACAUGACAAUAAAUUAAACAUUUAAUAAUUGAAAAACCCUCAUUUAAGGUAUUAAUCAUCAACAAAAUAAACCAAAUAUUGGUUUAUUACGAUAUUUUUAACAAUAUUAACCAAGCUGAUUCUUCACCGUUCCUAUCCGUCGGCUUUUUAGCGAGAUGCUAACUGAAUGGUUUGAUAUCAGCUGGGAAUUCUGGGAUUCUACACAACGCCAUGACUGAAGCUCUUCUACCGUUUACAAUGAGUCCCAGGGACGGCAAUUCCCAACUCUACACCAGGGGCCGUCAGGGGCAAAAACGUGACAGAAAACGACUGGCUAAAACAGGUGCCACCCAACAGUCAAGAGGAGAAGCACAGACAUGUUUCACGUCGGGGAAAGGCUGCCUUCCAAGUAAAACAGUCCACAAGGCAAAGACUGUCACCACGUUAAGAUUACAGAGGCCGUG